rnacentral:lncRNA from 7 species
CACGGUCUGUGUGGAAAUAGCGGCCGGGACAGCGAUUUCUGGGACUUUCCUGGAACGAGCGCAAGUAAAAAAAAAGCGGUGAAACGGACGGGGCACAGAAAAGCGAGACGGGAACGCACAGACGUUACUGCGAAAAAGUCCGCCUCCGCCGCCGGUCUCGUGCGCCGGCCGAACCAGAACCAGAGAAGCACGCCGAGGCUUAGCCGAGGAGCCGAGCCGGAGCCGGAGCCGGGGCCGGGGCAGCGACCGGCUGCGCAGACGGCCGCGGCCCCCACCACGUGGUGGCACUCGAGGUGUUGUCUGUGGUCUGGCUGUACGCGUGGGCCCGCACUCGACGUUCGUUCGGAGGCCGGAUCUUCUGCGGCGGCCGAUUGGAUUCGCCACCGGCGUGCAGGGUAGCCGGCCACCCACACUUAAUAACGACGAGUAAAUGCAUGUUUGGCUCGGAUAUGUGGGCAAAUCCCAGCUUUUUCGUCUAUGAUGUCUGUGGUGUGGCGAGCCGUAUCAUUGCAGGUACCACUAGCUUUAGUUGGUCAUGUUGACCGGGGGGGGGGGGGGGGGGGGCGCAGAGCGUAAUAAAUCACGGCGACCAGACGACCUAGCUUACUUGUUUAGAUUUGUGGAGGAAUAAUGAUUUGGGAGGAAUCAUUUACCUACGUCAUCGCGUGCGCAAUGAGCGGGAGAUCACGGCCAUAAUACGUACGUACUUCGUUAACGACGGCGCACGUAGAGUACUGCCUGUGCAGUACCUUUCGGUACCUUUUGGUUGUGUGCCGCGCGCUCUCGGCGCAGGCGCGCAGCAGUGAAAAGACAGCUAGCUUAGCUGGCCAGCACAGUAGCCAUGUGACGACGAUCAUACGUACGGUAUGUACGUGGCGCCCGCGUGCGUGAUCAGAUGGGUUAUGCCAGCAUCAAAAAUCAAUUAAAGACAGCGGCGGCGAGGGGGAGGCCGCGACGACGUCCGUUCCGCACC